rnacentral:rRNA from 1 species
CCUACGGGAGGCAGCAGUGGGGAAUAUUGCACAAUGGGGGAAACCCUGAUGCAGCGACGCCGCGUGAGUGAAGAAGUAAUUCGUUAUGUAAAGCUCUAUCAGCAGGGAAGAAAAUGACGGUACCUGACUAAGAAGCCCCGACUAACUAUGUGCCAGCAGCCGCGGUAAUACGUAGGGGGCAAGCGUUAGCCGGAUUUACUGGGUGUAAAGGGUGCGUAGACGGCUGUGCAAGUCUGAAGUGAAAGCCCAGGGCUCAACCCUGGGACUGCUUUGGAAACUGGGGAGCUAGAGUGCAGGAGAGGUAAGUGGAAUGCCUAGUGUAGCGGUGAAAUGCGUAGAUAUUAGGAGGAACACCAGGGGCGAAGGCGGCUUACUGGACAGUAACUGACGUUGAGGCUCGAAAGCGUGGGGAGCAAACAGGAUUAGAUACCCGGGUAGUC